AAUGAACGUUGGCGGCGUGGAUUAGGCAUGCAAGUCGAGCGCGAACCCCGCAAGGGGUGAAAGCGGCGAAAGGGAGAGUAACGCGUGGGUAUCUGCCCUCGGGACUGGGAUAGCUGCGGGAAACUGCAGGUAAUACCAGAUGAUGUCCCCGGACCAAAGGUGUGAUUCCGCCUGAGGAUGAGCCCGCGUCCUAUUAGCUAGUUGGUAGGGUAAUGGCCUACCAAGGCAAUGAUGGGUACUGGGUGUGAGAGCACGACCCAGCUCACUGGGACUGAGACACUGCCCAGACACCUACGGGUCGCUGCAGUCGAGAAUCUUCGGCAAUGGGCGAAAGCCUGACCGAGCGACGCCGCGUGUGGGAUGAAGGCCUUCGGGUUGUAAACCGCUGUCAGAGGGGAGGAAUGGGCGGAGGGUAAUCUCUUCGUUUUGACCUAUCCUCAGAGGAAGUACGGGCUAAGUUCGUGCCAGCCGCCGCUGUAAUAC
rnacentral:rRNA from 1 species